UUUCUGUUGCAGAAUUCAAAAAAUUGAAAUCAAUUAAUUUUUUCCAUUUCGUUUAUGGAAUGUAGUAUGCCUUUAAGUAGUGAAAGUAAUCCACCGUUUCCAACUUAAAAUGUAUCAAAUUACUUAAAUUAAAGAAUACAUAAGGUAUAUUUAAACAACCUAAUCUCCAAGAGAGAUAGUUCUGGACACUAUCAGGAAAAAGAUAAAGUUGGGAUUGCUGCUGUUCUUAGAAAUAUACUAGAAAUGUUUGACCUGCGAAUAAUGGCAAGACAAAGUUAUUAGGCAGAAGUCGAGACAUGUGUCACAAAGAAAGUUUAAAACAACAUUUUAUGAAAUUCGACGGUGCCAGUAAAAAACUCAACGUCUUAGAGUUCACAAAAUGAAUUAACCGGGUUUCCAAUCACACAAAUGUACCAUAUGGUCGUACACAAUAUCAGAUUUUCUUAGUGUGGCUGGGUGUUUUCUAUUUGCUAGUGCUAUAGCCCAGUAUAGUCCAAGGCAUUGAAGAGAAACUUGUAAUAUGUAUGAAAAUUGGAAUAGUGACAAAAACCGUAAGCCCAGUAUUUUCAACAAUCUUCAUAUGUUAAAAAAUGAGGAAAG